AUGAACGCUGGCGGCGUGCCUAAUACAUGCAAGUCGAGCGAACAGACGAGGAGCUUGCUCCUCUGACGUUAGCGGCGGACGGGUGAGUAACACGUGGAUAACCUACCUAUAAGACUGGGAUAACUUCGGGAAACCGGAGCUAAUACCGGAUAAUAUAUUGAACCGCAUGGUUCAAUAGUGAAAGACGGUUUUGCUGUCACUUAUAGAUGGAUCCGCGCCGCAUUAGCUAGUUGGUAAGGUAACGGCUUACCAAGGCGACGAUGCGUAGCCGACCUGAGAGAGUGAUCGGCCACACUGGAACUGAGACACGGUCCAGACUCCUACGGGAGGCAGCAGUAGGGAAUCUUCCGCAAUGGGCGAAAGCCUGACGGAGCAACGCCGCGUGAGUGAUGAAGGUCUUCGGAUCGUAAAACUCUGUUAUUAGGGAAGAACAAAUGUGUAAGUAACUAUGCACGUCUUGACGGUACCUAAUCAGAAAGCCACGGCUAACUACGUG
rnacentral:rRNA from 1 species